rnacentral:rRNA from 1 species
GAUGAACGUUGGCGGCGUGCCUAAUACAUGCAAGUCGAACGAAGACUGUAGUAAUACUGUCUUAGUGGCGAACGGGUGAGUAACGCGUGGGUGACCUGCCCCGAAGUGUGGGAUAACAGUCCGAAAGGAUUGCUAAUACUGCAUAAUAUCCAAGAGAUUAGAUGCUUUUUGGAUUAAAGGAGUAAUUCGCUUUCGGGAGGGGCCCGCGUCCCAUCAGCUAGUUGGUAAGGUAAUGGCUUACCAAGGCGAUGACGGGUAGGGGACCUGAGAGGGUGGCCCCCCACAAUGGAACUGAAACACGGUCCAUACACCUACGGGUGGCAGCAGUAGGGAAUAUUAGUAAUGGGCGAAAGCCUGAACUAGCAACGCCGCGUGUGCGAAGAAGGCCUUCGGGUCGUAAAGCACUUUUUGAGAGGAUGAGGAAGGACGGUACUCUCAGAAUAAGUCUCGGCUAACUACGUGCCAGCAGCCGCGGUAAGCAUACUCGUA